CACGUAGGGCGCAAGCGUUGUCCGGAAUUAUUGGGCGUAAAGAGCUCGUAGGCGGUCUGUUGCGUCUGCUGUGAAAACCCGGGGCUUAACCCCUGGCUUGCAGUGGAUACGGACAGACUAGAGGUAGGUAGGGGAGAAUGGAAUUCCCGGUGUAGCGGUGAAAUGCGCAGAUAUCGGGAGGAACACCGGUGGCGAAGGCGGUUCUCUGGGCCGUACCUGACACUGAGGAGCGAAAGCGUGGGGAGCGAACAGG
rnacentral:rRNA from 1 species